rnacentral:rRNA from 1 species
GAGUUUGAUCGUGGCUCAGAGCGAACGCUGGCGGCAGGCUUAACACAUGCAAGUCGAGCGCCGUAGCAAUACGGAGCGGCAGACGGGUGAGUAACACGUGGGAACGUACCUUUUGGUUCGGAACAACUGAGGGAAACUUCAGCUAAUACCGGAUAAGCCCUUACGGGGAAAGAUUUAUCGCCGAAAGAUCGGCCCGCGUCUGAUUAGCUAGUUGGUGAGGUAACGGCUCACCAAGGCGACGAUCAGUAGCUGGUCUGAGAGGAUGAUCAGCCACACUGGGACUGAGACACGGCCCAGACUCCUACGGGAGGCAGCAGUGGGGAAUAUUGGACAAUGGGCGCAAGCCUGAUCCAGCCAUGCCGCGUGAGUGAUGAAGGCCCUAGGGUUGUAAAGCUCUUUUGUGCGGGAAGAUAAUGACUGUACCGCAAGAAUAAGCCCCGGCUAACUUCGUGCCAGCCGCCGCCGUAAG